UACAGAGGGUGCGAGCGUUAAUCGGAAUUACUGGGCGUAAAGCGUGCGUAGACGGUUAUUUAAGUCGGAUGUGAAAGCCCCGGGCUCAACCUGGGAAUUGCAUUCGAGACUGAAUAGCUAGGGUGCGGUAGAGGGAAGCGGAAUUUCCGGUGUAGCGGUGAAAUUCGUAGAUAUUCGGAAGAACACCAGUGGCGAAGGCGGCUCACUGGACUGGUAUUGACGCUGAAGUGGCGAAAGCGGUGGGGAGCAAACAGGG
rnacentral:rRNA from 1 species